ACCCGCUGAACUUAAGCAUAUCAAUAAGCGGAGGAAAAGAAACCAACAGGGAUUGCCCUAGUAACGGCGAGUGAAGCGGCAACAGCUCAAAUUUGAAAUCUGGCUCUUUUAGAGUCCGAGUUGUAAUUUGCAGAGGGCGCUUUGGCUUUGGCAGCGGUCCAAGUUCCUUGGAACAGGACGUCACAGAGGGUGAGAAUCCCGUACGUGGUCGCUGGCUAUUGCCGUGUAAAGCCCCUUCGACGAGUCGAGUUGUUUGGGAAUGCAGCUCUAAAUGGGAGGUACAUUUCUUCUAAAGCUAAAUAUUGGCCAGAGACCGAUAGCGCACAAGUAGAGUGAUCGAAAGAUGAAAAGCACUUUGGAAAGAGAGUCAAACAGCACGUGAAAUUGUUAAAAGGGAAGCGCUUGCAGCCAGACUUGCUUACAGUUGCUCAUCCGGGCUUUUGCCCGGUGCACUCUUCUGUAGGCAGGCCAGCAUCAGUUUGGGCGGUAGGAUAAAGGCCUCUGUCACGUACCUCCUUUCGGGGAGGCCUUAUAGGGGAGACGACAUACUACCAGCCUGGACUGAGGUCCGCGCAUCUGCUAGGAUGCUGGCGUAAUGGCUGU
rnacentral:rRNA from 1 species